AAUGAACGCUGGCGGCAGGCCUAACACAUGCAAGUCGAGCGAAGUCUUCGGACUUAGCGGCGGACGGGUGAGUAACGCGUGGGAACAUGCCCUUUGGUGCGGAAUAGCCCCGCGAAACUGGGAGUAAUACCGCAUGUGCCCUUCGGGGGAAAGAUUUAUCGCCAAUGGAUUGGCCCGCGUUGGAUCAGGUAGUUGGUGGGGUAAUGGCCUACCAAGCCGACGAUCCAUAGCUGGUUUGAGAGGAUGAUCAGCCACACUGGGACUGAGACACGGCCCAGACUCCUACGGGAGGCAGCAGUGGGGAAUCUUAGACAAUGGGCGCAAGCCUGAUCUAGCCAUGCCGCGUGAUCGAUGAAGGCCUUAGGGUUGUAAAGAUCUUUCAGUGGGGAAGAUAAUGACGGUACCCACAGAAGAAGCCCCGGCUAACUCCGUG
rnacentral:rRNA from 1 species